rnacentral:misc_RNA from 1 species
CGUUUCGUCGUAUUGUUGAACGCCUGUCCAAAGAUUGGCACUUCCGAGACCCACCUGGUUUUUGACUGACUCAGACCGCGUGACGCUGAUUUGUUUGCCUCUUUUCAUUCCGCCGAAUCGCAGGGCGUCAACACUGUGAAGUGAUAAAAAAACGCCAACGCCGAAUUAACCACUGGUGAAAACGCAUUAAAUCCGCGGAGAAAUGUCUAAGGAUAAAUAGCGCAAAACAAUGAAGCGUAAACUUGAAAAUGUACUUGUGUAGACGGGAAUGGCAAAAUUGCUUCAGCAAAAUGUCGAUGCAUGCAAAGUUGUUUUCGCGAAUAUUUAACAAGCUUGGGAUUAGCCUGGUAAUUGUUGUUACUUAAACCCGUUCAUCGGCGAAAAAUUGCACCGUGUUACGAAACAGUACCAGAGCAAUUGCGCAUCACGGGAAAUGACUCAUCGGACGAGUCGAAACAUGUCCAGGGGGCUUCGACGCGCUGACGCAUGCCCAGAAAUAGACCGAUAACUCAGGGGAAUUUUCAAACGAUUCGCGGAACCAACGAUGAGUUUAGCCAAUGAGGAGCGAGGCAUAAACCACACUCUGAAACCGUGAUUAGAUAUGCCGGGAGUAUAAGAGCCGAGUGCUUCUCGGUGAUGAGCAGUGCUACGUGAACCGUCAUUCAGUCAACUGGCGAAGCAUGUAUCCCCACCACCCACCGCACGGCCCACCACCCCCGGGUCCACCUCACCAUGGGCCCCCGCAUCACCCACAUGGACCACCGCCACCACCACACCAUGGUCCACCACCGCCUCACUACGGCCCACCGCCGCCUCACCAUGGCCCUCCUCCGCCGCAUCAUGGUCCCCCACCACCACCU